rnacentral:rRNA from 1 species
CCUUGCAGUUCUCACCUGGUGUCCUACUGAAGCUCGGCAGAGUUGAGCCUGGUCAGUACCUGGAUGGGAGACCUCCUGGGGAAAACUAAGGUUGCUGCUGGAA